UAAAUGUCUGAUUUUAAUAGCACAUAUUUCUCUUUUACAUAAACUGUGACAGCAACUUGCAUAAACAAUUCUUUAGCUGUUAAUUUUAAUGUUAAAACUUUGAAAAACUUGUUUAAUAAAAAUAGCUGUAAAAAGAAAAACCAUAUGCUGCCGCAUAAAUUAGCCAUAACUCUUAAUAAUCCUGCCCAUCACAAGUGAACUGUAAUGUAACCUGGGCACAAAGUCUGACAUCUUAAAUGACACAAUGUAAAAUUUCAAUGACUGUAGAUUAGAUAUGCUCCCCAAAGUAAAGCUUUCUGCUCAGCUAUUUUAAAAUGUACAAGGAUGAGCCCCCAUAGGUUCCCAUAUUGAUAUUCACAAUGAAAUGUUACUGAAAAUUUCCUUAAAGUUGCAUGUUUCUCUCCUGUAAUGUAUAAAUUGCAUGCAGGAUCUCUAUCUUUUAUUUUGUAUGUCUAAACCUUCCUCUUCAAAAGACUGAUCUCUUACUUCUCCAUUUUCAGGUCAUGGAAAACUCAAGACAUUUCCUGGAGUAGAAUGGGUAUUAAAGACCCAUGUCAGCUAUCAGACGACUCCAGAAACUGGGAGAGCUGCCUGCUGUCAAGGCUGGCCUGAGGGCAUUUGCUGAGCACAGAGAAACACCAGAGAGAU